UAGCACAGUUGUGCCACCCUGGACAAUCCCGAUCUCUUCUGAUCUGGAAGCUAAGCAGAGUUGGGAGACCACCUGGGACUACCAGGUGCUGU
rnacentral:rRNA from 1 species